UUACCCUUAGACUUUAUAGAAAACGACCAAUACCGUCUCAUAUCAGGAAAUGUAGGAAAAUUUCGUAUCGACUGAUACGGCCGAUAUUUGACCGAAACGGCCGAUAUUCGACCGAUACGGCCGAUAUUAUCGGUCGAAUAUCGUAUCCCCGAUAUCCUUCUUAUCGUAUCGUUUUGGGCCGAUAUCCGAAAUAUCCCCGAUAUAUCGGCCGAUACGGACGAUAUUGACUACAUUGGUUUAGACAUCUCAACUCAGUUCAUUACCAUCUCAAUUCAGACACGCAUACAUUCGUCUCAAGGAACACUGUACCUUAGUCAACAUACCACCACUAUAACCCGAAUUCCAUUUCUGUAAGUUAACACCAGCAGUUCAUUCAUAUCUUCACCCGCAACAGUUUAUAUACGCCUUUCUAAAUCAUUCCUCUAAAUGUUAUCAGAUCAAUAAUCCCCCCAUAUUAACUAUAACCACGACUUACCAUUUCACUUCACUAGUAACAUCAACCACCCCUGUAGAUCUACAUCCAAACCAUUCAGCUAACUACAACUGCUUAUAUAUCCAUCAUUAUGAUAACCACUAUUAGCAAUUCACUUCUAAAUCCAUACCCUCAUCAACCUCAGUUCAAUUAUUAAACACACAAACUAUAAACUACAACCAAUUGUAGUUCAACAAAAUUGUAUUCAUCUAUAAUACAUAUCCAAAACCACCAACACCCUUAGCUCUAUCAUCUCCAGCCAUAAAUUCAACUCCUCCCUGCAGCUUCAACUCAAAUAACAACCAUAUCACCGAAAUCUAUUUCUUUGUGCAAUAACAUCAGCAACACAACCAUGUUCUCCACCACAAGCAAAUAAACUUUCUUCCCUGACACUCAUAUCAGUUGCAUACAAGAAUCAUCGACAGCAACACUAUAUCUCAUUCAACUACAAUACAAUUUCCACACAAAUAAACCCAUCAGCAGAACUGAAUUAAAUCAGUCCUCAAGAACUCAGAGUUAAUUCAGAAACUCUAAUUUCAUCUUUAUUUCAUAACAACACCAUCUUCAUCUCUUCACUGUCUCAAUCACCAACUCAGUGUAAUAAUUCCUCCUCCAGUUCCAUACACAUACAUCUAUCCCAUAGCUUAAAUCAAUUAACAAACUCAUACUCAGUAAUGAAAGUACAUACAACAUUACUAAGCUAACUAAGAAGAAUAAUUACCUCAAACAGCUUGUCUCAUCCAAACUGAAAUCAACUCAUUCUUUCUUCUGAUUCCAACAAUCAAUACCAAAUCAUCUCCUCCCUAAACCAUCUGGGUAACUCUCAAAACCCUAGUUUUUGAAUAGGGAAGAACAUGAAACCCUAAUUCUUCAAUUCUUCUUUGUGAAUAAAAAAUCAGAUAUUAAAUCUUCUUAUUUACAUUCAACACACAAAACCCAUCUUUAAUUGAUCUUCUAGAGCAUCAGAUUCACUUUCUAAAUCAUCUUAGAGUUCUUCUCAUAGAACCCUGAUUAACCGAUUCUUCACUGAUUCGUCAUUGAAACAACUUCAAGGCCCCAAUUAAACUACAACCCAAUUGUUACUUAUCCUUCAUCAGUAUCAUAUCAUCAUCAAUUCUUCAAGAAUUUCAACCUCAGAAACCCUAACUUCUAUUUCACUUCCUUCUUCGAGUCCGAAUCAACAACAGACAACAGCACCACCACUAUUAGUAACUCCAUGAUCUUUUACACCUCUUACUGGUGACAAAGCUCUCAAUUAAUCUCUGAAACUUGCAGAAGAAAAAGAGCAGGAGAGGAAGAGAACGAACAGAGAAAGAGAAGAAGAAAUAAGAUGAAUAUAAAGAUGAGAAAACCGAAAGUUAUCCUCACGACGUGGAGAUAAGGCUGACCCAAUUGCUGAGAUACCCGCUCACUUUGACACGUGCAGCCACAAAGACAAAAUCCAAAAUUACUAUUUUACUCUCUGAAAAUAACUUGAUAAAUCUUCUUUACCCAGUGUCUGAAUGACGCGUGCAAGUAGUCUACUCUGCGUAAUUUUUCGAGAUCUAUCACGCGGCUUGGAAAAUUUAAUGAUGUGUCCAUUUAGGAGAAUCCUUCGCAACCAGUGGAAGCAAUCAAUCCUAUGUUUGACUUAUCAGAUCUAGAGUCAGUUACCAAGACAAGUUUUGAUUUUGAAAACGCCCAAGGUGUUGCAAAUGUAAUUAUUAUUCCAUGCUCGGUUUUGAUGAGUUUACUUCUGUUAUCUUGGAAAUACUAUCUUGAGUUCGUUUACAUUAUCAAAUACCAAGGGAAAAAAAAACAGUUUCUUUUAUUAA